AGCAUAUCAAUAAGCGGAGGAAAAGAAACUAACAAGGAUUCCCCUAGUAACGGCGAGUGAAGCGGGAAGAGCUCAAAUUUGAAAUCUGGCACCCUUCGGGGUGUCCGAGUUGUAAUCUAGAGAGGCGUUUUCCACGCUGGUCCACGUAUAAGUCUCCUGGAACGGAGUGUCAUAGAGGGUGAGAAUCCCGUCCUUUACGUGGGCUACCAGUGUUUCUGUGAUACGCUUUCUAAGAGUCGAGUUGUUUGGGAAUGCAGCUCAAAAUGGGUGGUAAAUUCCAUCUAAAGCUAAAUAUUGGCCUGAGACCGAUAGCGAACAAGUACCGUGAGGGAAAGAUGAAAAGCACUUUGAAAAGAGAGUCAAACAGUACGUGAAAUUGUUGAAAGGGAAACGCUUGAGGUCAGUCGCGCCUUUUGAGACUCAGCCUUCCUUUUGGUUGGUGUACUUCUCAAGAGGCGGGUCAACAUCAGUUUCGACCGGUGGAUAAAGGCGGGAGGAAUGUGGCUUCCUCGGAAGUGUUAUAGCCUCCCGUUGGAUACAUCGGUUGGGACUGAGGAACGCAGCACGCCGCAAGGCAGCCCCUCGGGGACUUUCGUGCUUAGGAUGUUGACAUAAUGGCCUUAAGCGACCCGUCUUGAAACACGGACCAAGGAGUCUAACAUAUCUGCGAGUAUUUGGGUGGCAAACCCGAGUGCGCAAUGAAAGUGAAUGCAGGUGGGAAGCGCAAGCUGCACCAUCGACCGGUCUGGAUUUUUAAUGAUGGAUCUGAGUAAGAGCAUAUAUGUUGGGACCCGAAAGAUGGUGAACUAUGCCUGAAUAGGGCGAAGCCAGAGGAAACUCUGGUGGAGGCUCGUAGCGAUUCUGACGUGCAAAUCGAUCGUCAAAUUUGGGGUAUAGGGGGCGAAAGACUAAUCGAACCAUCUAGUAGCUGGAUACCUGCCGAA
rnacentral:rRNA from 1 species